rnacentral:lncRNA from 1 species
GAGGAGCGCGUUGGGGAAUGGCAGGGGGGGUGCUCCCUACUGCAAAGCUCUGCUUCUGGCCACGUGGUGGCAAACGGAGCACUGCAGCAGCGAGUUUAUUUGGAGCAGUCCUGGCUGGGUCCCCUCUUGGGCCAGCAGCCCAGACAAGUGCGGCUGUGGCAAGAAAAGGAACGUUGCAACAGAAGAACUGAGGCAGUGCCAGUGAGUGCACAAAGCGGUGCUUGCCCUGGAGGAACAGCAUAGUGCAAAUUCCCAGUGCUGUCGCAUGCACGGGGACACAGCUCGUGGCCUUGACCUCAGCAGAGCCCUCCCACUUUACACCAGGGGUGACCGCAGCCAGCCCAGGAUGGUGCUGUGGGGCUGUAUCUCCCUGCCUCUGUGCACGCUUCUGGAGUGGCAUGGGGCAGCUGAGACAUCACGAGAGGAGCCGCAUACUGGUGCCCCCUGCUAGUGCUGGAUGCCAACGUGUUGUGGGGUUUUCUCCCUUCCUCACAUCGUGAUCAGCAUCUGCCCUUGUCUAUCUGGCUUCUACCGUGGGCUGCAGCUCACCACCAGCGCAGCUCUGCCGUCCACAGAGAGCUGGGCAGGUGGCAGUUCAGUGCCCAGCACGUGGCCCCAGUCCUCCACAGGAGUCCCCAGGAGGGUUUCCACCACCCCUGCAGCUGGCACCUCACCGUAGCACAUGUCUGAGCCACAUGCAGAUGUGUGUGGGUGCUGGAGGGACUGGCAGGGCACGUGCUUGCUCCAGUCAGUGGGGCAAUGUAGAGGAGCUGGUGGCUCCCCAAACUCACCGGUAACCAGCUCAGCCCUCAACGUUGUGUAGGGCUGCACGGGGAGCUGCCCUAACCUCCAGUCCUGGGCUGUCCUCGCAGCCAGGACUAUCUGGGAGAAACACCUUGACUGUGCCGGGGCCUCUGGGCAUUCCUUUAGAGGGUAGCAACGAGCCGGUUCCGCCUGGUGCUGACCAAGGAGGAUUUCCCCGGUGUCGACUGAAUUCCCCUGCGUGGUGAGAACGAGACCGCCCCGUGCCCCGCAGCCCUCGGGGGGGGGCUUCGGGUCAAUCCCCCGCGGCUCCCUGCCCCCGUGGGCGGGCUGCAGG